UGCGUAGGCGGGCUAAUUAGUCAGUGGUGAAAACCUGCAGCUUAACUGUAGACUUGCCAUUGAUACUGUUAGUCUUGAGUACGGUCAAGGUAGGCGGAAUGUGUAAUGUAGCGGUGAAAUGCUUAGAUAUUACACAGAACGCCGAUUGCGAAGGCAGCUUACUGGGCCAUUACUGACGCUGAGGCACGAAAGCGUGGGGAGCGAACAGGAUUAGAUACCCUGGUAGUCC
rnacentral:rRNA from 1 species